CACACACACACACUAACCAGUCGAUUAUGCCUUGCUGCUUUCCCUCGAUGGAAGUAUGUGUGGCCUUUAAAAUCUGUAGCUGGUCUAAACCUUCAAUUUGAAAGGCAAUAAUAACAGGAAGGUUUCCAUAAUUAUGCUGACUCAACGAAUAUUGACACUAUUUGUUGCUGACUCAGCACUCUAUAUGAGGGGUCCAACACUGUAAUUUUUAGCGUACAAGAUUUCAAAAUCUCGAGAUUUCACAAAGAUUUCAGAGAUUUCAAAGAUUUCAGAGAUUUCACAGAGCAUCACUGGGGUUGAAGAUUGAAAGUUCUACCGUCAUUCAACACUUGCACUAGUCAUGCACCUCGGUCAUGGAUGCACUAGCACUUGCACUAGCACUUGCACUGUGAGCAGAUGCAAUCAAGGAAUAGAUGGGCGUGCCCGUCCCCUUUUUGUAGGCAGACCACGCCCAUCUAGUCAAGGCCAUGACACUGAGAUUACAAUAAGAUUACGGAAAAUGAGGUCAAAGGUGGGAUUUCAGAGAUUUCAAGAUUCGGGAUUUCAUGAGAUUUUAUGAGAUUUCAAAAGAUUUCAAAAGUAGGUGUACAAGAUUUCACGGAGUGUCGGACCCCUUGGCACUCUAUAUGCAAUUUUAAAUCAGCUAGCUAGCUACAGUCAUGUAGUUCUAGCAACUCUUCAAUCUAUGGUUCUAGUGAGGCAGAGCUCAUGUCAAUGAUUCUUCCAGAGACACUAGACUCAUGCAUAUAGAUCUACACUACUGUGGACUAGACUCAUCUACUUGUAAGAAGGUAGUACUGUACUGUAUGUAGGUGGCUGUUGAUUAUGUCAAGAAUUGCCAGCAUGAACUCGUGAGCAUCUUCUUGGUUUAUACCUGUUUGGAGCGUGGUAUGACUAUCCUAUAUAGCCGAAUGUCUUUUUCUAUCGCUAUAUAGGGUUGGACAGAAGGGUUAUGGCUGCCAGUGAUGCAUCUCAAUAAAAAACUGAGAGUUUUCAGCUGAGAGUUUCCAGACGGAAGAAACGUGGGAUACAUGCAGCCUCACUAUACAUGAUAACUUUUCACUUCACUUCACUUCCCUGAACAUAAUUUCUGUUACAAGUUUUACAUCGAAUGUGCAUGAAUAGUCUCUGUACCAUGACUGGUAUAAUCAAUGAAACUUGGAAGCAAAGCAUGUGUUUCAAAUGUUUAUGCAUGCCUCCUCCAACAUGCAAUA